GGAAAAUGCGGUGCUAAUACAUGCAGUCGAGCGGAUGUGAGGAACUUGCUCCUCGAUGUUAGCGGCGGACGGGUGAGUAACACGUGGGCAACCUGCCUGUAAGACUGGGAUAACUUCGGGAAACCGGAGCUAAUACCGGAUAAUGCUUUUGAACUCAUGUUCGAAAGCUGAAAGAUGGUUUCGGCUAUCACUUACAGAUGGGCCCGCGGCGCAUUAGCUAGUUGGUGAGGUAACGGCUCACCAAGGCAACGAUGCGUAGCCGACCUGAAAGGGUGAUCGGCCACACUGGGACUGAGACACGGCCCAGACUCCUACGGGAGGCAGCAGUAGGGAAUCUUCCGCAAUGGACGAAAGUCUGACGGAGCAACGCCGCGUGAGUGAUGAAGGUUUUCGGAUCGUAAAACUCUGUUGUUAGGGAAGAACAAGUACCGGAGUAACUGCCGGUACCUUGACGGUACCUAACCAGAAAGCCACGGCUAACUACGUGCCAGCAGCCGCGGUAAUACGUAUGUGGCAAGCGUUGUCCGGAAUUAUUGGGCGUAAAGCGCGCGCAGGCGGUUCCUUAAGUCUGAUGUGAAAGCCCACGGCUCAACCGUGGAGGGUCAUUGGAAACUGGGGAACUUGAGUGCAGAAGAAAAGAGCGGAAUUCCACGUGUAGCGGUGAAAUGCGUAUAGAUGUGGAGGAACACCAGUGGCGAAAGGCGGCUCUUUGGUCUUGUAACUGACGCUGACGCGCGAAAGCGUGGGGAAGCAAAACAGGAUUAGAUACCCUGGGUAGUUCCACGCCCGUAAACGAUGAGUGCUAAGUGUUAAAGGGAUUCCGCCCUUUACUGCUGCAGCAAACGCAUUAAGCACUUCCGACUGGGCAGUACGGCUGCAAAGCUGAAGACUCAAAAGCAAAUAGACAGUGGACCCGGCACAAGCGCUGUAGCAUGUAGAUUUAUUUCGAGAUCAACGCGACAACAUACAGUCUGACAUCGUCUGCCUACCUAACAUAGCGUCGCCUCGCGGACGAAGUGACAGUAGUGCAUGAUGAUCGUCGCCUCCCGUCCUGGAAAGAUUGAUUAAUUCACACAAGCACAUUGACGUAUUGCAGCAAUAUAGCUGCAGAUAUGCCAUGCGACUAGAAA
rnacentral:rRNA from 1 species